UGAACUGCAUCAGUGCUUAGCCUAUCGUUC
rnacentral:piRNA from 1 species